rnacentral:rRNA from 1 species
GGAGGUGCUUGCACCUCGCCGGCGAGCGGCGGACGGGUGAGUAAUGCAUAGGAAUCUGCCCGGUAGUGGGGGAUAACCUGGGGAAACCCAGGCUAAUACCGCAUACGUCCUACGGGAGAAAGCAGGGGAUCUUCGGACCUUGCGCUAUCGGAUGAGCCUAUGCCGGAUUAGCUAGUUGGUAGGGUAAUGGCCUACCAAGGCAACGAUCCGUAGCUGGUCUGAGAGGAUGAUCAGCCACACUGGGACUGAGACACGGCCCAGACUCCUACGGGAGGCAGCAGUGGGGAAUAUUGGACAAUGGGCGCAAGCCUGAUCCAGCCAUGCCGCGUGUGUGAAGAAGGCUUUCGGGUUGUAAAGCACUUUCAGUGGGGAAGAAAGCCUGUCGGUUAAUACCCGGCAGGGACGACAUCACCCACAGAAGAAGCACCGGCUAACUCCGUGCCAGCAGCCGCGGUAAUACGGAGGGUGCGAGCGUUAAUCGGAAUUACUGGGCGUAAAGCGCGCGUAGGCGGCGUGAUAAGCCGGUUGUGAAAGCCCCGGGCUCAACCUGGGAACGGCAUCCGGAACUGUCAUGCUAGAGUGCAGGAGAGGAAGGUAGAAUUCCCGGUGUAGCGGUGAAAUGCGUAGAGAUCGGGAGGAAUACCAGUGGCGAAGGCGGCCUUCUGGACUGACACUGACGCUGAGGUGCGAAAGCGUGGGUAGCAAACAGGAUUAGAUACCCUGGUAGUCCACGCCGUAAACGAUGUCGACUAGCCGUUGGGAGCCUCGAGUUCUUAGUGGCGCAGUUAACGCGAUAAGUCGACCGCC